AUGGCAGAUUUUAGCGUGGUGGCUGGCGGCAGUGGUGAGGUAGAUGACAAUGCCAGGCUCGAUUGGGGUUGGCUUGGCACAAUGGAUUUGGCAGAGUUGAAGAGGGUAACGAGGCAGAUGAUCCCGACAUUUUGGUGUGGCUCUAUGCUUCCUCCGGCCACGUGCAUGGCGAUGGUGGCCAUCGACCGAAGCUCGGGCACUCUCGGGGUGGCUGCAGAUGUGGGAGAGAAGGCAGAGGAGGGCCCCACUAGUCAACAACGCUUUGACCUCGUCCAUGUCAGCAAAACCACCGGUGCAAACCCACCAAUGAUGAUUUUUGAACGGUUUGGGAUAGAUUAG
rnacentral:rRNA from 1 species